CCUACGGGAGGCAGCAGUGAGGAAUAUUGGUCAAUGGACGGAAGUCUGAACCAGCCAUGCCGCGUGCAGGAAGACGGUACUAAGUGUUGUAAACUGCUUUUGUACAAGGGUAAACCUGGAUACGCGUCUUCAGCUGAAAGUACUCUACGAAUAAGCAUCGGCUAACUCCGUGCCAGCAGCCGCGGUAAUACGGAGGAUGCAAGCGUUAUCCGGAUUUAUUGGGUUUAAAGGGUGUGUAGGAGGAUUGAUAAGUUAGAUGUGAAAUGUUCGAGCUUAACUCGGGAACUGCCUCUAAUACUGUUGAUCGAGAGAGUAGAUGCGGUAGGCGGAAUGUAUGGUGUAGCGGUGAAAUGCUUAGAGAUCAUACAGAACACCGAUUGCGAAGGCAGCUUACCAAUCUAUAUCUGACGUUGAGGCACGAAAGCGUGGGGAGCAAACAGGAUUAGAUACCCUUGUAGUC
rnacentral:rRNA from 1 species